rnacentral:SRP_RNA from 2 species
GCCAGGCAUGGUGGCGGGUGCCUGUAGUCCCAGCUACUUGGGAGGCUGAGGCAGGAGAAUGGCUUGAGCCCAGGAGGCAGAGCUUGCAGUGAGCUGAGAUUGUGCCACUGCACUCCAGCCUGGGCGACAGAGCAAGACUCUGUCUCAA